rnacentral:rRNA from 1 species
GAUGAACGCUGGCGGCGUGCCUAACACAUGCAAGUCGAACGGAGUCGUUUUGGAAAUCUCUUCGGAGAUGGAAUUCUCGACUUAGUGGCGGACGGGUGAGUAACGCGUGAGCAAUCUGCCUUUAAGAGGGGGAUAACAGUCGGAAACGGCUGCUAAUACCGCAUAAAGCAUUAAAUUCGCAUGUUUUUGAUGCCAAAGGAGCAAUCCGCUUUUAGAUGAGCUCGCGUCUGAUUAGCUAGUUGGCGGGGUAACGGCCCACCAAGGCGACGAUCAGUGGCCGGACUGAGAGGUUGAACGGCCACAUUGGGACUGAGACACGGCCCAGACUCCUACGGGAGGCAGCAGUGGGGAAUAUUGCGCAAUGGGGGAAACCCUGACGCAGCAACGCCGCGUGAUUGAAGAAGGCCUUCGGGUUGUAAAGAUCUUUAAUCAGGGACGAAACAAAUGACGGUACCUGAAGAAUAAGCUCCGGCUAACUACGUG